rnacentral:lncRNA from 1 species
AACCGCUAUAUUAGGGAGACUAAAUUCCUCUAACUAAGUGGCUUGCUACGAGGCGGUGUAGUUCUGACAGAAUUCACUAGAACUUCUCAAGAUGUCCAAGAUUGCAACCAUGCUCUGAUACCAACUGACACACCCUGUCCCGAAGGAGGGCAUGCUGGCCGUCACGUGAGAGUGACGUAACCAUUUGCACAGUACGGAAGCUUUA